UGGUGGGUAGUUUGACUGGGGCGGUCUCCUCCUAAAGAGUAACGGAGGAGCACGAAGGUUGGCUAAUCCUGGUCGGACAUCAGGAGGUUAGUGCAAUGGCAUAAGCCAGCUUGACUGCGAGCGUGACGGCGCGAGCAGGUGCGAAAGCAGGUCAUAGUGAUCCGGUGGUUCUGAAUGGAAGGGCCAUCGCUCAACGGAUAAAAGGUACUCCGGGGAUAACAGGCUGAUACCGCCCAAGAGUUCAUAUCGACGGCGGUGUUUGGCACCUCGAUGUCGGCUCAUCACAUCCUGGGGCUGAAGUAGGUCCCAAGGGUAUGGCUGUUCGCCAUUUAAAGUGGUACGCGAGCUGGGUUUAGAACGUCGUGAGACAGUUCGGUCCCUAUCUGCCGUGGGCGCUGGAGAACUGAGGGGGGCUGCUCCUAGUACGAGAGGACCGGAGUGGACGCAUCACUGGUGUUCGGGUUGUCAUGCCAAUGGCACUGCCCGGUAGCUAAAUGCGGAAGAGAUAAGUGCUGAAAGCAUCUAAGCACGAAACUUGCCCCGAGAUGAGUUCUCCCUGACUCCCUGAGAGUCCUGAAGGAACGUUGAAGACGACGACGUUGAUAGGCCGGGUGUGUAAGCGCAGCGAUGCGUUGAGCUAACCGGUACUAAUGAACCGUGAGGCUUAACCUUACAACGCCGAAGGUGUUU
rnacentral:rRNA from 1 species